GCUGCACUCACCCCGAACGGCUGUGAGAUCCGCGGCCGCCAGCGGCUCUUCGCUCCUCAGCUAGGAUGAAGCCCCUUGGUCACCCGAGUCUCCAGGUUGAGUCAGGCCCCGGCCUUGGCCCCGCCUCUCCCUGAAUGCCCUUCUGUUGCUGCUUCCAUGGGCCUCACCUUUGCUCUGACUUUCCUUCUCUUGCUUUGGAGGACUCACACUGGAGCUGCUCCUUUAGAGGACCAGGACUCCAUUCUGGGGAUGGUGGAGCAGUGAGUUGGAAGGAAGCUGGAUCCUGAAGGCUGCAUAGAGUAGAGCUGCCAUACUAGCCUGAGUGUCGUGGCCAUUGUGUUCCAUUGUGUUCCUGGGAAACCUCACGUCAUUUAACAUGUACCAGGCAAGUAGGGUUAACUGGACCCACUUUAACAGCUCUGUUUCACUCGUGCAGCUUAACUCAGUAAGAAUUCUGCAGAAAGACUUCAAGCAGAGCUGAGCUUUGUCUUUCGUGGAUGUGCCUUCUGAAUUUCAAGAUGAACACACCAUGAAUAAUAACCAGUGCCUUUUGGGGAUGGUACAUGGCAGUACAAUACACUGGAAGCCUUUUUUAAAAAAAAUUUUUAUCGGAGCUGCACUAUGUCAUUGUGUUUAUUUCCUAGAAAUUAUUG